AUCUGUGCCCGAAAGUUAAGGUACACUU
rnacentral:tRNA from 1 species